rnacentral:rRNA from 1 species
GAGUUUGAUCUUGGCUCAGGAUGAACGCUAGCUACAGGCUUAACACAUGCAAGUCGAGGGGCAUCGGGAAGAAAGCUUGCUUUCUUUGCCGGCGACCGGCGCACGGGUGAGUAACACGUAUCCAACCUGCCCUUUACUCGGGGAUAGCCUUUCGAAAGAAAGAUUAAUACCCGAUGGCAUAAUGAUUCCGCAUGGUUUCAUUAUUAAAGGAUUCCGGUAAAGGAUGGGGAUGCGUUCCAUUAGGUUGUUGGUGAGGUAACGGCCCACCAAGCCUUCGGAUGG